rnacentral:rRNA from 1 species
GAUGAACGCUAGCGGCAGGCCUAAUACAUGCAAGUCGAGGGGCAGCGGUUCGGCCGGCGACCGGCGCACGGGUGCGUAACGCGUAUGCAACCUGGCCUAUACCGGGAGAUAGCCCAUGGAAACGUGGAUUAAGAUCCCAUAAUGCAGGGGGCUCGCAUGAGUCUAUUUGCUAAAUGUAAAGGUAUUGGAUGGGCAUGCGUGGGAUUAGCUAGUUGGUGAGGUAAAGGCUCACCAAGGCGACGAUCCCUAGGGGUCCUGAGAGGGAGAUCCCCACACUGGUACUGAGACACGGACCAGACUCC